rfam:Biomphalaria glabrata isolate BB02 linkage group LG8i unlocalized genomic scaffold LG8i_random_Scaffold101, whole genome shotgun sequence.
UGGCUGAGCGGUAAAGCGCUUGGCUUCCGAACAGGGGACCGGGGUUCGAAUCCUGG